GGCCGACUAGCUCAGUUGGUUAGAGCGUCGUGCUAAUAU
rnacentral:tRNA from 1 species